GGAUGUGAGAAUAAUUUGGUUGUGACAUCUGACACUUCAUUGACUGGGUUGGUUCAGAUUAUCGAGCUGGCUAGGCCAUGUCCUCUCCCUCCCUUAGUGUUCCAUGUUCACCCCUCCCAAAGCUGUAUAUUUCAUCUAAGAGAACAACCACGCCUGAUUGAGGAUAAUUUCUCAGUCAAGGGUAUAGGAGUAGCUACAUUCCCCUGCUAGAACCUCCAAACAAGGACAGCAGAAUAUAGAAAAAACAAAAAUCUUCUGUUCCUGGAUAGUCAGA
rnacentral:snRNA from 1 species